GAUGAACGCUGGCGGCGUGCCUAAUACAUGCAAGUCGAGCGAACAGACGUGGAGCUUGCUCCUCUGACGUUAGCGGCGGACGGGUGAGUAACACGUGGAUAACCUACCUAUAAGACUGGGAUAACUUCGGGAAACCGGAGCUAAUACCGGAUAAUAUAUUGAACCGCAUGGUUCAAUAGUGAAAGACGGUUUUGCUGUCACUUAUAGAUGGAUCCGCGCCGCAUUAGCUAGUUGGUAAGGUAACGGCUUACCAAGGCAACGAUGCGUAGCCGACCUGAGAGGGUGAUAGGCCACACUGGAACUGAGACACGGUCCAGACUCCUACGGGAGGCAGCAGUAGGGAAUCUUCCGCAAUGGGCGAAAGCCUGACGGAGCAACGCCGCGUGAGUGAUGAAGGUCUUCGGAUCGUAAAACUCUGUUAUUAGGGAAGAACAAAUGUGUAAGUAACUAUGCACGUCUUGACGGUACCUAAUCAGAAAGCCACGGCUAACUACGUG
rnacentral:rRNA from 1 species